rnacentral:rRNA from 1 species
GACGAACGCUGGCGGCGUGCUUAACACAUGCAAGUCGAACGGACGAGUGAGAUAGGUUUACUUAACUCACAAGUUAGUGGCGGACGGGUGAGUAACACGUGGAUAAUCUACCUGCAACACCGGGAUAACGCUGUGAAAACGGUGCUAAUACCGGAUACGUUCCCUUGUGCGCAUGUAUGAGGGAAGAAAGCUCAGGCGGUUGCAGAUGAGUCCGCGGCUGAUUAGCUAGUUGGUGAGGUAAAGGCUCACCAAGGCGAUGAUCAGUAGCCGGCCUGAGAGGGUGAACGGCCACACUGGGACUGAGACACGGCCCAGACUCCUACGGGAGGCAGCAGUGGGGAAUCUUCCGCAAUGGGCGCAAGCCUGACGGAGCAACGCCGCGUGGGUGAAGAAGGCCUUCGGGUUGUAAAAGCCCUGUCUUAUGGGAAGAAGUCAGUGACGGUACCAUAGGAGGAAGCCACGGCUAACUACGUGCCACAGCCGCGGUAAAGCUACGUAGA